rnacentral:misc_RNA from 1 species
UAUCGUCGAUUUAUUCCGAAAACAAUUUAGCUCAAGAUGAAUAGGGUAACACUCAAAAAGCAAGUAUUAUGAUUGGCAAAAAAUCGUCAACGAUACGACAAUAAGUACAAGGUUGUCAAAAGGGGGUGUGGCAUGUUUACAAACAAUUUAAAAUUCUAACGAGUAGCAAAGGUCAAGGUGAGGUAAAGUCCAAAAGUAAAGUAAAAUUAGGUCUCACUUAUCCAACCUUUGGAUAUGAGGUUCAGUUAUUGUAACACUAUUCACAGAGUCGAAAGAAUAGAUUUUCACAGUACACUGUCAUCUACUGACUGUAAUAUAUCAGAUUAUUUGCUUACUAGUCUACACAAUCUAAAUCUAAGCUUAGUCUAAAAUAAUCUGAGUGCCUGUACUUGCAGCUUGUGACUGUCAAAAAGCAUGAACUUUGUGAUCCAGAUCUCUCAAGCACAGAUUUAGGAUAUAGUGAUACACAGCAUCUCGGCUUCAAACUCGUCAAUACAACAUAUACGACAGAUCCUGACCAAUCCAAAGUAGACACAAUGACGUCACCUGAAUUAAGUGACAUUCUGAAGGAUUUCCCCCCAGGCCCCCUUGAUGAAUACAGGAAAAGGGCAUCUUUUGAUUGGAAAAAUAUGAAGCUAUUUCUUGAAGGAGAAGACAUCAUAAAAUAUAAGCAUUAUGUCUAUUCCUGCAUGGAGGGUGAUCCUAAACUAGGAAAGAUCAGCUCUGAGACAUUACCUUUAGAAGAGCAGCGUCGUCUCGUUAUGACACGUAAUAAGCGUUUAAUGGAGUAUGACUUUGAAGCCACUUGUCGUGAAAACACUAUUCCCCCGAAUAUUCUUGGACAAUGUCUACGAAGCUAUGACAAGUCAUUGAGCAUGAAAUACUCCCUCAACAUGCAGAUGUUUGGAGGUACAGUUCGUGCUUCUGGCUCAAAAAGACAUGAAGAAAUUGUGGAAAAAGUUAACAACUUCGAGUACCUGGGAUGUUUUGCUCUGACUGAACUAAGCCAUGGGAGCAACACUAAGGCAAUGAGAACAGAAGCACACUAUGACCCCAAGACACAGGAAUUUAUAAUCAACACACCAGACUUUGAAGCAACUAAGAUCUGGGUGGGCAAUAUGGGCAAGACAGCCACACAUGCAGUAGUGUAUGCUCAACUUUAUACAGCCGAUGGCAGUUGCCAUGGGUUACAUUCCUUUGUUGUACCACUGAGAGAUCCGCGGACACUACUGGCUCUCCCUGGGGUUGUCGUUGGAGACAUGGGGGAGAAGAUAGGCCUCAAUGGCCUCGACAAUGGCUUUGCAGCCUUUAACCAAGUUCGGAUUCCAAGAGACUAUUUGCUCAAUAGAACGGGAGAUGUUACCCCAGAUGGCAAAUAUGUAACCCCCUACAAGGAUCCAAACAAACGAUUUGGUGCUUCUUUGGGGGCACUCUCAGGGGGUCGUGUAGGGAUUACAGGGAUGUGUGCCACAAAUCUAAAAAUGGCACUUCCUAUCGCAAUAAGAUAUUCUGCUGCAAGGCGACAGUUUGGUCCACCAAAUAAACCAGAGAUGCCAGUAUUAGAAUACCAACUACAGCAAUGGCGUUUAAUUCCCUUUCUUGCUGCCUCAUAUGCAAUUGAUUACUUCUCUAAAAAGUUCUUUAUGGACUAUGUGGAGUUCCGCAUUGGAAUGAUGAUGGGGGACAAGAGUGAGAAACAGGCAGAACUUGGACGAGAGAUACAUGGCUUAUCAUCAUCAAGCAAGCCCUUGGCAGGAUGGACUGCGAGAGAUGCCAUACAGGAGUGCAGGGAGGCAUGUGGGGGUCAUGGCUAUUUUAAAGUGAAUCGACUUGGUGACUUGAGAGAUGAGAAUGACCCUAACUGCACAUAUGAGGGGGACAACAAUGUGCUCUUACAACAGACCAGCAACUAUCUACUUGCCAAACUAAGAGAAGGCCACCCAAUUCAGUCCCCACUAGGAUCGAUAGACUUCCUUGAAGAUAUAAACACAAUCAAACAGACCAAGUUCUCUGCUCAGACCAUGGAGCAAUGCUGCAACACUGAAGUCCCCCUAGCAGCCUACAAAUGGCUGGUGACAUACCUGUUGGAAGAGAGUGCAAUUAAGUUGAAGUCAGAGCUCUCUAGCGGGAAAGAUUCAUUCUCAGCACGUAAUGACAGCCAGGCAUACUACUGCAGGACGCUGUCUUUUGCCUUCAUAGAGCACACAGUUUUAGAUACCUUCAAUAAGUAUAUACAAGACACUGACACACCUGCAGAACUUAGACCUGUAUUGAACAGAUUAUGUGUGUUAUAUGGCUUAUGGAGCAUGGAAAAACACCUAGCUACAUUAUACCAAGGAGGAUAUCUACAAGGUCCAGAACCAGCCAGGUUGAUACGUGGAGCCAUCUUGAGGCUGUGUACAGAACUGAAGAAUGAUGCAGUAUCAUUGGUGGAUGUGAUUGCUCCCCCUGAUUUCAUCCUGAACUCCCCCAUUGGGAACUCAGAUGGCCAAAUCUACAAGAAUUUAUAUGGUGCCAUGAUUCAGGGACCAGCUGCCCUAGAAAGACCUUCUUGGUGGGCAGAAUUCUUGGAUAAACCAAAGAUUGGCUCCCUACGGCCAGAAUCAAAACUUUAAACAUUGAAAAAACUGACAUACAAGAGGUAAUUCUAGAAGUGACACCAAAGAGUUGACAUAUACAGGAGUUUUGAAAUUCAAAUACUGGAAGUGAAUUGAAAUAAAAGACAAACAGAAAACUUUUUUCUAAAAAUGACUAGAUUUAUUGAUGGCUCAAUACAUUGAAUGGCCUGUAAUCAGAAUGAUAAAAGUUUUACAAUUACAUAUUGAAGACUUUAACCAAGAAUGUUUGAGGACAAUUUUGAAAAGGAACUGCAAUAACAUCAAAUCAAGGCUUUGUAUAAAAAACCUUGUACCUAAAUGUACGUACCCACGUUAGUAAUGAUACAGACUUUUAAGUGUUAAAUAGUUUUAAAUACGGGGAUUUGCUAAAUUGAAUUCCGUUUAACGUUUCAUUUUAUUUAUUCAAAGCAUG